rnacentral:rRNA from 1 species
AUGACAAUUUUUCUUUAUGCACAUCAUAAAACAUUGUCCUUGAUGAGGUCUUUCAUGAAAAAAAGAGACAUUGUUAGACCGGGGGUGACACGAUUUGCUUCGGCAUUUCUUAUGUUGCAAAGUUUGGUUUCUAAAAAGAAAGAACUAAGGGCAAUGGUUUGUAGUGAUGAAUGGGAAGCAUGCAAGCACACAAAAACGGUGAAAGGCAAGGCGGCCAACGCCACUAUAAUGAGUAGGGGCUUUUGGAACAAUGUAUCACUUUGCAUCAAGGUUUUUGAGCCAUUGGUGAAGGUGCUUCGGUUGGCUGAUGGGGAUGGUCCAUCUAUGGCCUCUAUGUAUGGAGAACUAAUAAGUGCAAAAAGGGAAAUCAAGGUUGCUGUUGAAAAUUCAGAAAAAAGACUAUUUGGUGAUCACUAA